rnacentral:antisense_RNA from 1 species
CUUCAACGAGCCCAGCCACAGCGGCACUUCACGGUCCUGCCCGUACGUCGCGAGCAGCGCCUGCGCCUC